AUUCACCAAACUGUACAACGAAAAAGUAGCCAAGAAGCGGCAUCAGAUGACCCGGCUCUACAUGGACAACGGUUUGCUGGUGUGGAACGGAAAUGGUGCCAACGGGAAGGACAACAUCCAGAAGUACUUCCAGGAACUGCCCCGCUUAGAAUACAUUAUGAACACCCUGACUAAUUGAAUCAUCGCAGGGCUGUUAUGUUUCUACUAAUCAUUCAACCGAAUUCUCCAGUUGUUACUCUGUCAAGCUAGAGCCUCAGGAGUUCAGUUGGAUUGCUGUCGAAUAAAAGUUCAAGCUACAGCCGGAUACUGAUGUGAAUCUGAAGAUAUAAUGGAAAUGUUAACAAGUAAUUAUAAAAAUGUAAUAAAAAACAGAUAUUAAAUAAGGAUGGGGACUGGAACAAUCAUUUUUUGCAUUGAUUGUAUAACUGUAUCUCUCAAAAGAAACAAUGAAACAAGGAAUACCUGUGCUUUAAUAAUGUACAACUGAAGGCAGUUAUUGAGGGAACUAUGAUGAUUUGAAUAAAUAGUUGAUCAAGUUGAA